CUUAGAAAAUGGUUAAAUUUUAAACGCGUUUUGUUUGAAAAAAAGUUGCCAUUAUUGGACACGCAGUUCGGUUGUUUGUUUUCUACGGCUGUGGGUCGGGUUUUAUAGAGUUUUUAGUUAUUAUGCAGCUCCCGGAGGAUUAUUUGAUCAUAUAUCGGUUAAAACGAGCGGAUCCGAAAAUUUAACACCAUCGUGGUGGACCACAGCUGCUCUAAAUGGCUAGCAGUUUCAAAGGAAAACAGUCCCGUUCGGGUGGUGAAUCUGAAGCUUCAAGAGGAUUCGUAUCAGGAACUUCCAGCAGCAACACCAACGAGAUAGUGGUGUAAAGAAGACGAAUGCUCCUCCCCCUAGAAACUGUGGCUUUUCAUCUGCGCGCCGGGGGCGAAACCCCGGUUUAUUUGAAAAGCUGCUUGAACUACUCAUCUUUGGAAUCUUCCAAAAGAUGAUAAGAAUGAUGAGGGGCUUCAUCUAAUUCGGCAAGUCUGUCCCAUCCUGAGCUGCUGGUAGAAGAACAGCACUGGAAAAGGGCAAAACGGGCUCAGCAUCGGGUGCAGUCACCGGGAAGUUAGAACCAGCGGAUCAUCCGGAAGUGGCCGACUUAAAAUAUUAUUUGAACCCUGUCGUGAUCGACACAUAUUACCACACAACCCUUUAGAAAUUCCAUUUUCCAAUAAAAGCUUUUUUGAAA